CACGUAGGGGACGAGCGUUGUCCGGAUUCAUUGGGCGUAAAGCGCGCGUAGGCGGCUUGGCAAGUCGGAUGUGAAAACUCCAGGCUCAACCUGGAGCCGCCAUUCGAUACUGCUAUGGCUAGAGUCCGGUAGGGGAGUGUGGAAUUCCCGGUGUAGCGGUGAAAUGCGCAGAUAUCGGGAGGAACACCGAUGGCGAAGGCAGCACUCUGGGCCGGCACUGACGCUGAGGAGCGAAAGCGUGGGGAGCGAACAGG
rnacentral:rRNA from 1 species